GGCCUGGUGGUCUAGUAGUAUGAUUCCUUCUUAGGGUAUUUACCAUCUGGAGGAGGUCCCGGGUUCAAUUCCCGGCCAGGCCC